rnacentral:tRNA from 1 species
GGGCGGCUGGCCUAAUGGUAAGGCGUCUGAUUUCGGCUGAGCAUUGCUCAAAAAUCUCAGAAGACUUGCAGGUUCGAUCCCUGCGUCGCUCA